rnacentral:rRNA from 1 species
AGUGAACGCUGGCGGUAGGCCUAACACAUGCAAGUCGAACGGCAGCACAGUAAGAGCUUGCUCUUACGGGUGGCGAGUGGCGGACGGGUGAGGAAUACAUCGGAAUCUACUUUUUCGUGGGGGAUAACGUAGGGAAACUUACGCUAAUACCGCAUACGACCUACGGGUGAAAGCAGGGGAUCUUCGGACCUUGCGCGAUUGUAUUAGCCGAUGUCGGAUUAGCUAGUUGGCGGGGUAAAGGCCCACCAAGGCGACGAUCCGUAGCUGGUCUGAGAGGAUGAUCAGCCACACUGGAACUGAGACACGGUCCAGACUCCUACGGGAGGCAGCAGUGGGGAAUAUUGGACAAUGGGCGCAAGCCUGACCCAGCCAUACCGCGUGGGUGAAGAAGGCCUUCGGGUUGUAAAGCCCUUUUGUUGGGGAAGAAAAGCAGCAGGUUAAAACCCCCCUGUUCUGACGGUACCCAAAGAAAAAGCAACGGCUAACUUCGUG